rnacentral:rRNA from 1 species
AAGCACACUUCGGUCAUAGAUUAAGCCAUGCAAGUGUUAGUUCAGGCAACGAAACUGCGUAUAGCUCAUUAAUACGCUCAGAAUCUAUUUGGUGGCAACCUUCAGGUUUUACAUGGAUAGCAGGAGUAAUUCUCGUGCUAAUACAUGCGAUUGUUUCAUCGGAAGUGAUUUACGAUGGAAAAGUUGACCCUUACGGGCACACCAUUCGACUGAGCGACCUAUCAGCUAGUACUUAGGGUCUGUACCUAGGUAGGCUAUCACGGGUAACGGGCGGUUACCGUCGGACUGCCGGAGAAGGCGCCUGAGAGAUAGCGACUAUAUCCACGGGUAGCAGCAGGCGCGAAACUUACCCACUCGAGACUUUCGGAGGUGGUAAUGACCAGUUCCGCUGAUUGCCUUAUGGCAUCAAUGGAUAGGAGUACACUUUUCCAGUGUUCUGAAACCUAGCAGAGGGCCAGUCUGGUGCCAGCAGCUGCGGUAAUUCCAGCUCUGCGAGUUUGCUCCCAUAUUGUUGCAGUUAAAACGCCCGUAGUCAGAAUUCUCUUCGUAAGGAG